rnacentral:rRNA from 1 species
ACGAACGCUGGCGGCGUGCUUCACCCAUGCCAGUCGAACGGAAAGGCCCUGCUUGCAGGGUACUCGAGUGGCGAACGGGUGAGUAACACGUGGGUGAUCUGCCCUGCACUUCGGGAUAAGCUUGGGAAACUGGGUCUAAUACCGGAUAGGAGCCAUCUUUAGUGUGGUGGUUGGAAAGUUUUUUCGGUGUAGGAUGAGCUCGCGGCCUAUCAGCUUGUUGGUGGGGUAAUGGCCUACCAAGGCGGCGACGGGUAGCCGGCCUGAGAGGGUGUACGGCCACAUUGGGACUGAGAUACGGCCCAGACUCCUACGGGAGGCAGCAGUGGGGAAUAUUGCACAAUGGGCGCAAGCCUGAUGCAGCGACGCCGCGUGGGGGAUGAAGGCCUUCGGGUUGUAAACUCCUUUCGCUAGGGACGAAGCGUUUUUGUGACGGUACCUAGAUAAGAAGCACCGGCUAACUACGUG